ACUUGGCACUCCCUCCCUUCCCUCUAGAAACUUCUAGCUGGAGCGUCGAGUGAUUGGAUCAGGGACCAGGACCCCUCCCUCGAUGUAUUCCCGUUGGUCUGUCCCUAAUGUCAAUCCCCUGCAUCCCACUCCCCUCUGGUUUCCCAUUUGUCCAGAGGUGGUUUCCUCCCCUGUUUCCCCUGCCCCCUUAAAAGCUGCUGCAUUUCUGGGGUCGGGGCUCCAACCGGGAAAAUUUAUUAGAGCCAGUAAAGCCUGAUUAUACCCUCGGCUGGAGUCAGCUCUCUUUUUCUGUUGGCUGUUGCUGCGAGUCCCGUCCGAUGCAGGGAGCUGCCUUCACAAUAGCGUGGAGCUGUAUCCCUAGGCGCUGUCUCGGGUGAGACCCGAGAGUGCUUCUGCUGCGAGCAGUGUGCUGGUUGCUUGCCGGGCGAAAGGGGGAGGACAAGCCUCCCCCCGACAGCUUGCUGCUUCAGUUUGGCCGCCCAGCGUAGGGCCCGAGGGCAUCCCCGGACCCCACGGACGAGACUCGUGGAUCUUUUGGACUUUGCCUCUGGAUUUCCACUUUGAGCUUUGGCCGGCAAACUACCUUUAGGUUGAGCAGACCCCUUUCUGGUGGGUGGCGCUCCCUGAGGAUAGGGAACGGCAGCUCCUAGCACCCGAAGGAGUCGUUCCCCCAACAGAACCACUGAACCCAGGUUUUUUUUGGUCCUCGCCGGAUUUGACUGUUCUGAUACAUCCAGUGAUGUUGCGUCCCGAUCGCGGGAGGAGUGGUGGCGCCGGUCGCCUGGGCGGUCCGGUCCCCUUUCGCUAUCGAUGUGUGUCAGGAGUGGCCUUGUCCCACCUCAGCUCCUGGCAGGCAGGAUCGCGGUUCGGCUACUGGCUGAGGUCCCGGACCAACAGGUGCGGCCGAUAAAUGUGGACCCACGUCUAAGGAUCGAGGCUUUCACAUCCACAGUGAAUAGCAUUUUUCACAGAGAACAAACAAAGUAUGCAUACGCUGUCCAGGUCGUCUGAAAACUCCUGUGGGACUCAACUGAACUGAUGAAUCAAGCAACGUUACAGUGCUGGAGGUUGCCGGGUCCCUUCCUGCGCUGCCUGGGGUUGCUGGUUGUAGGUUGGUGACGGUCCAGCCAGGGCUGCCUGUGGUCCAGCAAAGGCUGCUUGGGGUGGUGGCUGGGUUGAGGCUUGCGGCGGUUUACUCUGAGGCAUUGACUGGCGCAUCUGUGCUGCUCCACGCUUCUGCUCCAGUUUCCCGAUACUGGACGCCCUCCAAAAUCAUACUUGGACCGACAUUGAUUACGGCACAGUGGGCAAAUACCAGGCGUUUUGGAUCUGGCCUCCCCCUGUUGGAAACAGUCCUUUUUCAAAUGUCUAGAUUUCCCGCAAAUUUGGGGGUCCCCCUCCUUAAGAGCUUUUUUCUUUACUUGCAUCCAAUUAUCAUAAAGGUCAGGAGGGAAUGGAUCAGUCUCAUAGUCUGAAUCUAUUGGUCCUGGAUCGAAGGGCUCCCCCUCCUCCUCACUGCUAGAGCCCUGGUCAGUGAUAUAAACUGCUAACAACUGUCAGAAAGGAUGCCUCCCCCUCCUUUGUCUGGGCAGGGGCGAGGUUGAUGGCUGCGGCUGGUCUUCAGUAACAGAGGUGCCAGUUUCAAGUGGGCAGGGAGAGUCAGAGCGAGGCAGGGGGCUGGUAGCACCCUGUAAGAGACAGUCUGAAGUUUCCCUCAUUUGUCUCACGACCGUCCGAAGGACAGACAUUGGGACCCUGAGGACCCUGACUGGAGUUCUGGACUGGUUGAGGUGGAUGCUCACCCAGUGAUUGUUUGCAGCUGUGUUUACAGUGCUGCCAUGGUAUACUGCUUCAAGGGAGCAGGGUCUGCCAAGGAGCGACUCGCCCUAUAUGCUUGCACCUUCUUCAUGACAAUUGCCCAUGAAUUUCCCCACCUCUUGGCCAAAUGAACUUUCUGGGGUAACUUUGGUGAUCCUCCACAGAAACUCCCUCAUCUGCCUCGCGACCACUGUGAUGGACGGAGAUUGAAGCCCCCUCCCAAGGACUGAGAUUGAGGCCCCUAUAAUUCUAACACGGGGGGGCUGGCCUGACUGAAGCAAGAAUGUUGCCUGCAGGUGUGUUCGCUGGACCAAAACUGGUUUCCCAUAGAAACCAGUCCUGAAACAAUGGGUUCCACUCAUUGCUGAAAUCAACUUAUCCUGUUUUGGAACAUAGACUGUCUGUACCCGUUUUCAAUAGAUUUAUUCUUCAUUGUACCUGUUCCCCCCUCAGAGGAGGACUGUAAUAGACCCCUGAGUUAACCAAGACUUUUACAUUCUCCCUGAGGUGACAAGGCUGAUCUAUUGGCUGGUUGACGAGGAUUUAGUCUCUACGUCUGGUAGCUAUACCCCUUUCCCCUCUUUCUCUCUCUCUCUCUCUAUCCUUUAUCUCCUUUUCUAAAUCCUUCUAUCACAUUUGCUGUGGACAUUCAAUAAAAGGUGCAUUUGUUUUGAUUAAUACUGAAAUCCCCUCCAUGUUGUUUUUGCACUCUGAGAUCAGUUAACGAACCAUCACGACAUGCCCUUGUACGAGCGGAUCGUGACACAUCCACAAAAGAUAUAGCCCGAGACUGCUUGCUUUUUCACAAUGUCUCAAAAAGUAUUCUCUAGGAUGGUAGCAUACGUGACACCCAAUGUAAAAGUGACUUAAGGUCCUGCUUUAGGAUGGGGGAGUCAUGCCUGCCCAAAAGGGCGAGCAUGGUUUCAUAGACAUCUCUCUCACUGGAAUUGUCCUUUCCCACUUUUAGUUCCCCUGGCUCACCUGUCAGUCACAGCAUACAGGCCACUGUGGGCCCAGAUGCAGUUCUCUCACCAUCAUGAUCAGUUCCAGGGGUGCGUUGACUGCCAGCCAGUCAGGCCGGUUCAUUUUCUCACACGGGGCACCAAUUGUCGGGGAUGAAGAGAGAGGGAAGACUGAUUUUUUGCUUGCAGAAUUUAAUGAGUUUUUCUUUUUCCCGUAAACCCAUCUGAUUUAAUCUUCUUGCAAUCUAGAUCUAAUUUUCAAAGUUCCGUUUACUUUUGCCAAGGCCUUUUGUUUAUCAAAUCUCUUAUGCUUACCAGGUCCAAAGUCCAUCAUCUGUCUUGUGUCCCCCAGCCUCUCAACAUCUCCCCACUCUAAACGAUUUGUUAUUCUCAUCCUUUUGCAAAAUUUCAAUAGAUUCUUCUUAGGAGAAUUUGGCAAAUAGAGAAACUUAUUAAUCACAUAAUGUUUUCCUAAUUCAUAUUUUAAAGGUUGGAAGGUCUUAUCUUGCUCCUGAGGUACUAGUAGUUCUUACAGUACCUUGACUCCCCUCUGCUCUGCGCAGGGAUGGAUGCACAGCAAGGAUAUACCUGCCUGGGGACACCCCUGGCUUGGCCACUUUGCCCAUGUUUGGUCCUUGCCACCACCUCUUUUUGUUUCAGUGUCUGUCUGGGCUGGUUUUGCAAUAAUUGAUAUUAUAGAUGGAUAAUGAGAUGAUUUGCUCUCAAAAUUAAGGGAUGAAUAUUGUGUGAAUAUUAAGAAAAGCUUUAGUGAUGUAUAGUUAUGUUAUUGUAACUUGGAUGUCCUCUGUUCUCCCCAGAGUUCCCUUCCCCCCCCACUCUCUGUAUUGUUGCCAUCAGACAGCCUGGGUUGUCUAGGACAGGUAGAAAGAAGGCGUGCACAUGUGCCCCUUCCAUGGGGCAGUUGGGGAUGGAAAAGCUUGUUGCUAAAGGGGGCAUGACAACACCUGACCCUCCAAUCAAGUUACAAGAAAGCAGUCUCCACCGAUAAAUGGCAAAGAAGAGCUGACUGACAGACUUUAGGAGGGGCCAGGGUUGGCUGUUGCAACCCCCAGGGGUAUAAAAGGCUGACCAUCCAUGUUGAAGAGGAACCAGCCACGUGGUAGGCAGCCAUGAAGGCAGUUCCCAGCGCUGUAAAUUUUUCCUUGAUUAGUCCUUUUGUUGUAUUUUUGUUAAGCUUUAAUAAACUUUUUUAAAUUUUCAAAGUGA